rnacentral:rRNA from 1 species
UACGUAGGGUGCAAGCGUUGUCCGGAAUUAUUGGGCGUAAAGGGCUCGUAGGCGGUUUGUCGCGUCGGGAGUGAAAACCUCGGGCUUAACUCGGGGCUUGCUUUCGAUACGGGCAGACUAGAGGUAUGCAGGGGAGAACGGAAUUCCUGGUGUAGCGGUGAAAUGCGCAGAUAUCAGGAGGAACACCGGUGGCGAAGGCGGUUCUCUGGGCAUGAUCUGACGCUGAGGAGCGAAAGUGUGGGGAGCAAACGGG